ACAAUCUUUUGUGCUGGUAAUAAACAAGUCAGACAUAAACAUGUAUUAAGCAGCGAUUACUGGGCUUAUAUUAAUUCAGGGGACUUAUUGGUGGGCUUAUAUUUCGGGUAGGCUUAUAUUUGGAAUGAGGUGAGCGUUAGCACAUGUGGUGGGAGUUAUACACAGGGGGCUUAUAUUUGGGGGGGGCUUAUAUUUGGGGGGGCUUAUAGUUGGAGGUUUAUGGUACACUGAAACUGGAUUCUAAUUUUUACAGUUGUGCCAAUAGAAGUGUGCGUGCCGAAAAACUUGACCAGUUCAUUUCCUAACUUGAAGGAACAACACUGUGACCAGAUGUUUGUCAGCGGAUUUUACUAAACCUUUGCUAAAAUUUUACUAAAUAGACCAAAAUUUUACCAGAUUUGGAUUUUACCCAUCCCACUCCUGGGGGGGGGGGCCUCAGGGCUGCAAAUAAAUAUUUGACUUGACAGGACAUUUGUCCGAUCACUUUUAAUUUUGGUCGGACAUAACUUGAAUUUGGUCGGACAAAAACCAACACCACUAAAUUUGGUUGGACAAAUAUAUGUCACAAGAUGUAUAUAAAUCACGAGACAAGUAUGUAUAGCCAUUCCGGCGCAAUGUUAAAAAAGUAAAAUGCCUUGUAAAUUUUAUUGCAAAAUG
rnacentral:lncRNA from 1 species